rnacentral:tRNA from 1 species
AGCUCAGCUGGUUAGAGCACAUCACUCAUAAUGAUGGGGUCACAGGUUCAAAUCCCGUA